CUUCUUCUGUUUCUUUGCUAUUUCGGUGCAAUCUCAGGGAAAUGUAAAUCCUCCCAAUUCACAAUCACCGCCGCCGCCACCAUAUUCUCCUCCGCCACCACCUCCACCGUCGCCGCCACCUCCACCAUCACCUGUGCCUCCUCCCCCUCCACCUCCCCCUUUAUCACCUCCCCCGCCGCCUCCACCAUCGGCUCCUCCUCCACCUCCUCCGCCUACCCAAAGAGCUCCUCCUCCACAUCACCACCAACACAAAAACCACCAUAAAUCUGACGUUAAAAGCCCGCCACCACCACCAUCAAAAGAAAAGACGUUAAAU
rnacentral:lncRNA from 1 species